rnacentral:ncRNA from 1 species
UAGAAUAUUCCAUUACCGGGUACCCGUUUUAUAGAAAUGGGUUAAAAGGGAAAGUGGUGAAAGACCACUGCAGCCCACCGUUACUGUGAUGCUGACGAAACCUUGAAAAAAAUCACUGGGAGUAUAUUCCGGGAAGAUUAGGGAGUAGAAUGAAGCUCAGCCAGGAAACCUGCCCGAUAAUUGUUGAGUCU